AGUGAACGCUGGCGGCAGGCCUAAUACAUGCAAGUCGAACGGCAGCACAGCAGAGCUUGCUCUGUGGGUGGCGAGUGGCGGACGGGUGAGGAAUACAUGGGAAUCUGCCCAGUCGUGGGGGAUAACGUAUGGAAACGUACGCUAAUACCGCAUGCGCCCUACGGGGGAAAGCCGGGGACCGCAAGGCCUGGCGCGAUUGGAUGAGCCCAUGUUCGAUUAGCUAGUUGGCGGGGUAAAGGCCCACCAAGGCGACGAUCGAUAGCUGGUCUGAGAGGAUGAUCAGCCACACUGGAACUGAGACACGGUCCAGACUCCUACGGGAGGCAGCAGUAGGGAAUAUUGGACAAUGGGGGCAACCCUGAUCCAGCCAUGCCGCGUGAGUGAAGAAGGCCCUCGGGUUGUAAAGCUCUUUUGUCCGGAAAGAAAAGCAAUCGGUUAAUACCCGGUUGUUCUG
rnacentral:rRNA from 1 species